GGGGAAGGACAGGGAGAGGGCAGGAGAGAAGGAAUGGAUGGAGAAUCAUGGCCGGGUGACACAUAGCUUCAGCAGACCAUGCCAUCAAGACAGCAGCAGACUGAAUAAAACCACAAAUGAAUCCAUCACAAGAUAAUGUUAGGGUAUUUAUUUUCAAAUAAUCAACGUAAAUUUAGGGCACUCUGCCAUGGAUGGCAUACUGUGAAUAAAUCUUCAAAACUGAAUGAUUACAUUGAAAAUGUUCAUAACACAUCACGUUUAAAACAAAAAGUAGUCCUAGCAAUGCCAUGUGAUGUGCCUCCCAUCACACUCUGCUCAGCCAGCUCUUCAAGAUAUUAGGUUCAAUCGCUAACAUCAAGGAAUUGGACCAAUCGGUCACUAUUUUUACAGAGCAUUCCAGAAGGUGGUGGACAGAACCCAGAGGAAUUGUGAUGAAUUUCCUGGAGCAACUUUCUUUUCUUUGUACUCUAAACCUCACAUGACAACAAAAAUAGCACCCUUUCGACUGA